UACAGAGGUCUCAAGCGUUGUUCGGAUUCAUUGGGCGUAAAGGGUGUGUAGGUGGCGCCGUAAGUCGGGUGUGAAAUUUCGGAGCUUAACUCCGAAACUGCAUUCGAUACUGCGGUGCUUGAGGACUGGAGAGGAGACUGGAAUUCAUGGUGUAGCAGUGAAAUGCGUAGAUAUCAGGAGGAACACCGGUGGUGUAGACGGCUUCCUGGACCACAACUGACGCUGAGAUACGAAAGCGUGGGGAGCAAACAGG
rnacentral:rRNA from 1 species